AGGUUCUUUCUCCACCCAGAGACAGAGUGGAAAUAACUCUGAGUCCACAUCCCUGUAACUGUCCCUUGUCCUGUAUGUGUCCUCACCCAGCCUCAGUCCUUAGGGUCUAUGAGCACCAACCACCAAAGCUACUAGGAAAUGUUUGUUAAAAUGUUAGUAUUCAAUGUUACUUAAGAUUUUAUUACUCAGUAAUGUCUAAUUAGUAUUCUUAUUCUCAUAGGGAGUCUUUCACAUC